AUUGAACGCUGGCGGCAGGCCUAACACAUGCAAGUCGAACGAGUGGCGGACGGGUGAGUAAUGUCUGGGAAACUGCCUGAUGGAGGGGGAUAACUACUGGAAACGGUAGCUAAUACCGCAUACCAUCGGAUGUGCCCAGAUGGGAUUAGCUAGUAGGUGGGGUAAAGGCUCACCUAGGCGACGAUCCCUAGCUGGUCUGAGAGGAUGACCAGCCACACUGUAACUGAGACACGGUCCAGACUCCUACGGGAGGCAGCAGUAGUGAAUCUUGGGCAAUGGACGCAAGCCUGAUGCAGCCAUGCCGCGUGAAUGAAGAAGGCCUUCGGGUUGUAAAGUUCUGUCAGCGGAGAGGCGUUACCCACAGAGAAAGCACCGGCUAACUCCGUGCCAGCAGCCGCGGUAAUAC
rnacentral:rRNA from 1 species